rnacentral:rRNA from 1 species
CGUAGGUGGCAAGCGUUGUCCGGAUUUAUUGGGUUUAAAGGGUGCGUAGGCGGCCCUGUAAGUCAGUGGUGAAAUAUCUCAGCUUAACUGAGAGGGCGCCAUUGAUACUGCAGGGCUUGAGUACAGAUGAGGUAGGCGGAAUUGACGGUGUAGCGGUGAAAUGCAUAGAUAUCGUCAAGAACACCGAUAGCGAAGGCAGCUUACCAAGCUGUAACUGACGCUGAGGCACGAAAGUGUGGGGAUCAAACAGGAUUAGAUACCCUGGUAGUCCACACUGUAAACGUUGAUGACUCGAUGUUGGCGAUACACAGCCAGCGUCCAAAAACAAUCGUUAAGUCAUCCACCUGGGGAGUACGCCGGCAAAAAG